GACGAACGCUGGCGGCGUGCCUAACACAUGCAAGUAGAACGCUAAGGCCCUGCUUUUGUUCGGUGCUCGAGUGGCGAACGGGUGAGUAACGCGUGAGUAACCUGCCCUGUACCUUGGGAUAACUUCAGGAAACGGUGGCUAAUACCGCAUAGGAGUACCUGCUGCAUGGUGUGUGCUGGAAAGUUUCGACGGCUGGGCUUGGACUCGCGGCUUCUCAGCUUGUUGGUGUGGUAGUGGCUUACCAAGGCUUUGACGGGUAGCCGGCCUGAGAGGGUGACCGGCCACAUUGGGACUGAGAUACGGGCCAGACUCCUACGGGAGGCAGGAGUGGGGAAUAUUGCACAAUGGGCGGAAGCCUGAAGCAGCAACGCCGCGUGCGGGAUGACGGCCUUCGGGUUGUAACCCGUUUUCGCCUGUGACGAAGCGUGAGUGACGGUAAUGGGUAAAGAAGCACCGGCUAACUACGUG
rnacentral:rRNA from 1 species